GCCGAGUUCGAGCAGGGCGGGGGAGGGGGGCGGGGCUUCGGCAGCGGCAGCGCCUCUGAUUGGCUCAAAGUUCCCGGCGCCUCUGAGGCGGUGGGAGGGAGCGGAUUUCCCCUCCCCCAAAUCCUGGGAAACAGGGAAAGGGGGCGUGGCCCGAGCGGGAAAACCCAGAAAGGACCCGCCCCUCCGCGAAUUAGCCAAUGGGCUCAUCCCCCCGGAGGGAGCGUCUGCGCAGGCGCUGGAGUUUCCUUUUGCGGCUCCAUCCCUAAGCGGUUCGGUCCUGAGGAGCUUUCCCUGCUUGUCCGGGUCCGAGCUCCGCCUCGUGGGACCCUUGGGCCUGGGCGCGGGCCAGAGCGGGGAGCAGCAAGGAGCCAGAAUGGGCCCCGAGUUCCUCACCAGCAGGUCCCCCCAGCUCUGCCUGGUGGGACCCCAGGGGCCUGGGUGCAGGCCAGAGUGGGGAGCAGGAAGGAGGGAAGAAUAGGCCCCGAGUUCCUCACCAGCAGGCUCCCCCAGGUAAGCAGCAUCGUCCUCUUUUUUUGCCUGCCUUCUUUCCUUCCUUUUUCUUACAGUCUGACUUUGGAUUUCUUUUUUGUCUUGUGUUUAUUUUAUUCAUUUCUUUUGUUCCUUUUUGUAUUCCAAAAUUUCCUCCCUCUCAGCUCCUCAUUAAAGAAAACAAAUGCCAUAUAGAUCGGUGUGGGAAUUAUACAACACAUACUUCCACAUAGUCGUUUUUUCUCUGUGGAUGGAGAGCGUUUUCCUCCACGAACCCUUCGUAGUUGAUUUGAAUGUUCAUAUUUCUCAGAAUAGCCGAGUUAUUCUUUGAACAAUCUUGCUGUUACUGUAUACAGUGUUCUCUUGGUUCUGUUGGAUUCACUCUGCAUCAUUUCAUGCAAGUCUUUCCAUGUUUGUCUGAAGUCAACCAGCUUGUCUUUUCUUACAGCACAGUAGCAUUCCAUCAGCAUUAUAUGCCACAACCUAUUCAGCCUUUCCUUAAUUGAUGGGCCUCUUGUAAUUUCCAGUUCUUUGCCACCACAAAGAGAGCUACUAUAAAUGUUGCAGACCGUAUAAGUUCUUUUCCGUUUUGCCCCCUACCACCUUAAGAAACAGUGGCAUUGCUGAGUCCGAGGGUACAGUUUUAUGACUCUUUGGGCAUAAUUCCAGCUUGCUCUCCAAAAUGGUUAGAUCAGUUCACAGUUCCACCAGCAAUGUAUUAAUGUCCCAGUUUUUCAUAUCUCCUCAAACAUUCAUCUUUUCCCCUUCAAUCAUGAUAACCUGAUAACCAGAUUUAAAUCUGAUUGGUAUGAGGUAGUACCUCAAAUUUGUUUUAAUUUGCAUUUCAUUAAUCAGUAAUUUAGAGUAUUUUUUCAUGUGACUAUAUAGAUUUUGUUUCUUCUUUUAAAAACUGCCUGUUCAUAUGCUUUGAUCAUUUAUUAAUUGGGGAAUAACUCAUUCUUAUAAAUUUGACCCAGUUUUCUACAUAUUUAAGAUAUGAGGCCUUUAUCUGACAAACUGUCAACAAAAAUUUUCCCCCAGCUUUCUGCUUUCCUUUUAAUUUUGGUUAAGGUGGAUUUAUUUGUACAAAACCUUUUUAAUUUAAUGUAAUCAAAAUUAUCCAUUUUAUAUACCACAAUGCUCUGUAUCUCUUAUUUAUUUGUAAAUUCUUCUUCUAUACAUAAAUCUGAUAGUUAAUGUUUAAUGCUUCUCUAACUUACUUAUGGGAUCUCCUUUUAUGUUUAGGUCAUGUAUCCAUUUUGACCUUAUCUUGGUAAAUAGUAUAAGAUAGUGAUCUAUAUCCAGUUUCUGCCAGUCUGCUUUCCAGUUUUCCCAGCAAUUUUUACUAAAUAGUGAGUUCUUAUCCCAAAAUGUUACAUCUUUACAUUUAUCAAACAUGAGUUUAAUAUAAUCGUUUACUACUGUGUGUUUCAUACCUACUCUAAUCCACUUAUCGACCAUUCUCCUUCUUAGCCAGUACUACCUUAUGAUACAAUUUAAGAUCUGGUACUGCUAGACCUCCUUCUUUUACUUUUUUUUUCAUUAAUUCCUUUAAUGUUCUUGACCUUUUGUUUUUCCAAAUGAAUUUUGUUAUUACUUUUUCUAGCUCAAUAAAAUAAUUUUUUCGUAGUGGGGAUGGCA
rnacentral:lncRNA from 1 species